GAUGAACGCUGGCGGCGUGCCUAAUACAUGCAAGUCGAGCGAACAGACGAGGAGCUUGCUCCUCUUACGUUAGCGGCGGACGGGUGAGUAACACGUGGAUAACCUACCUUUAAGACUGGGAUAACUUCGGGAAACCGGAGCUAAUACCGGAUAAUAUAUUGAACCGCAUGGUUCAAUAGUUAAAGACGGUUUUGCUGUCACUUAUAGAUGGAUCCGCGCCGCAUUAGCUAGUUGGUAAGGUAACGGCUUACCAAGGCAACGAUGCGUAGCCGACCUGAGAGGGUGAUCGGCCACACUGGAACUGAGACACGGUCCAGACUCCUACGGGAGGCAGCAGUAGGGAAUCUUCCGCAAUGGGCGAAAGCCUGACGGAGCAACGCCGCGUGAGUGAUGAAGGUCUUCGGAUCGUAAAACUCUGUUAUUAGGGAAGAACAAAUGUGUAAGUAAAUAUGCACGUCUUGACGGUACCUAAUCAGAAAGCCACGGCUAACUACGUG
rnacentral:rRNA from 1 species